AUUGAACGCUGGCGGCAUGCUUUACACAUGCAAGUCGAACGGCAGCGCGGGCUUCGGCCUGGCGGCGAGUGGCGAACGGGUGAGUAAUACAUCGGAACGUGCCCAGUAGUGGGGGAUAGCUCGGCGAAAGCCGGAUUAAUACCGCAUACGACCUGAGGGUGAAAGCGGGGGAUCUUCGGACCGCGCGCGAUGGGGGCGGCCGAUGGCCGAUUAGCUAGUUGGUGGGGUAAAGGCCUACCAAGGCGACGAUCGGUAGCUGGUCUGAGAGGACGACCAGCCACACUGGGACUUAGACACGGCCCAGACUCCUACGGGAGGCAGCAGUGGGGAAUUUUGGACAAUGGGCGAAAGCCUGAUCCAGCAAUGCCGCGUGUGUGAUGAAGGCCUUCGGGUUGUAAAGCACUUUUGGCGGGAACGAAAAGGACUGUGCCAAUACCACGGUUCGAUGACGGUACCCGCAGAAUAAGCACCGGCUAACUACGUG
rnacentral:rRNA from 1 species